CUGGGGGCGGUGGGGGUGCGGGGGGAGCUGGGGGUGCUGCCGCCACCGCCUCCCCGCAGGGCUCCCGGCCUCCCGCCCCGGGCACGGAGCCCCCGGCCCCUGCUGGGCGAUGGGGACCGGGAGGCAGCCGGGGGUGUGCUGCUGGCCGGGCCCUUCGGCACCCCCGGCCCCCCCCCCGGGCAGUUCUGCCUCUUCCCGAGGGCAACGUGAGGCUCGCCUGCGCCCGGCCGUGCCCGGUGCUGGGUACACCACAACUUGGUGGCUUUGGGUGCUGGCCGGGCCGCAGGGGACUGACCUGUGUGAGCCCUGGCGUACAUCCGCUGAGGGCUGUGAAGCCUUGUGCCUGCAGAGCUGCUCACUGCCCCUCUGCUCUACCUGCGUGUAUGGUCUGGACCCAACAAAGCCCAUCAGUGCCUGCUUGGCUGGAGGGCUCUUUAGCUGACUUCACAUCAUGAGGCGUAUCUGCUGGUCCUGCACGUUGUUGUGGUGAUGUUGAGACCUGCAGCUGCAGACAGACUUCCCCUGGCACCAGCUGCUCCACCUGGCACCUUUCGGAUAGGGCUGAAAAUUAAAAGCAGGGAAAUCACCGUCUCCACGGUGUCAGUUCAGUAAAUACUGGCCCAGGUGCCUCCUGCGUGGCUCAGCCAGGAACAGCACG
rnacentral:lncRNA from 1 species